ACGGCUCAGUAACACGUGGCUAACCCACCCUUGAGACGGAGAAAACCCCGGGAAACUGGGGUUAAUCUCCGAUAAGAGAAGACCCCUGGAAUGGGUCUUCUCUCAAAGGGCGCCUAGACCAUGCUUCUAGGCGUUGCUCAAGGACGGGGCCGCGGCCGAUCAGGUUGUUGGUGAGGCAACGGCUCACCAAGCCUAUAACCGGUACGGGCCGUGAGAGCGGGAGCCCGGAGAUGGGCACUGAGACAAGGGCCCAGGCCCUACGGGGCGCAGCAGUUGCGAAAACUCCGCAAUGCACGAAAGUGUGACGGGGCUACCCCGAGUGCCGUCCGCUGAGGGCGGCUUUUCCCCGGUGUAAGGAGCCGGGGGAAUAAGGAGAGGGCAAGUCUGGUGUCAGCCGCCGCGGUAAUACCAGCUCUCCGAGUGGUAGGGAUGAUUAUUGGGCUUAAAGCGUCCGUAGCCGGCCCGGCAAGUCUUCCGUUAAAUCCAACGAUUCAAUCGUUGGACUGCAGGAGAUACUGUUGGGCUAGGGGGCGGGAGAGGCCGACGGUAUUCUCGGGGUAGGGGUAAAAUCCUAUAAUCCCGGGAGGACCACCAGUGGCGAAGGCGGUCGGCUAGAACGCGCUCGACGGUGAGGGACGAAAGCUGGGGGAGCGAACCGGAUUAGAUACCCGGGUAGUCCCAGCUGUAAACGAUGCGGGCUAGGUGUUGGGGGCGGCUACGGGCCGCUUCAGUGCCGCAGGGAAACCAUUAAGCCCGCCGCCUGGGGAGUACGGCCGCAAGGCUGAAACUUAAAGGAAUUGGCGGGGGAG
rnacentral:rRNA from 1 species